UACGUAGGCAGCGAGCGUUGUUCGGAGUUACUGGGCGUAAAGGGUGUGUAGGCGGUUGUUUAAGUUUGGUGUGAAAUCUCCCGGCUCAACUGGGAGGGUGCGCCGAAUACUGAAUGACUAGAGUGCGGGAGAGGAAAGUGGAAUUCCUAGUGUAGCGGUGAAAUGCGUAGAUAUCAGGAGGAACACCGGUGGUGUAGACGGCUUUCUGGACCGUAACUGACGCUGAGACACGAAAGCGUGGGUAGCAAACAGG
rnacentral:rRNA from 1 species